CAGCAGCCGCGGUAAUACGUAGGGUGCAAGCGUUAAUCGGAAUUACUGGGCGUAAAGCGUGCGCAGGCGGUUUGUUAAGACAGAUGUGAAAUCCCCGGGCUCAACCUGGGAACUGCAUUUGUGGCUGGCAAGCUAGAGUAUGGCAGAGGGGGGUGGAAUUCCGCGUGUAGCAGUGAAAUGCGUAGAUAUGCGGAGGAACACCGAUGGCGAAGGCAGCCCCCUGGGCCAAUACUGACGCUCAUGCACGAAAGCGUGGGGAGCAGACAGGAUUAGAUACCCCAGUAGUCCCUGUCUCUUAUAC
rnacentral:rRNA from 1 species